GGGUAGAUAUAAAAAGCUUACUUCCACCCUCACAAACACAUUCAACGAAGACUCUCACAAAGAGAAGCAACGAUUUAACCAACUCAGUCACUCCAGACAGCAACUCAACUAAACGACUGAACGAUGGAACGCCUUGGACGCUAUAUUUUGCCUUCGGAUGCACUGGAGACAGACAUAAUUUACCCUGACAGUGCUGGCUUUGAUGAACCGGACUGCCCAGAUCAACUAGGCAUGGUGAGUUGC